rnacentral:rRNA from 1 species
GAUGAACGCUGGCGGCGUGCCUAAUACAUGCAAGUCGAGCGAACAGACGAGGAGCUUGCGCCUCUGACGUUAGCGGCGGACGGGUGAGUAACACGUGGAUAACGUACCUAUAAGACUGGGAUAACUUCGGGACACCGGAGCAAAUACCGGAUAAUAUAUUGAACCGCAUGGUUCAAUAGUGAAAGACGGCUUUUUUGUCAGUAGUGGAUGGAUGCGCGCCGUAUUAGAUGGUUGGUGGGGUAGCGGCUUACCAAGGCUAGGCUGGGUAGCCGGCCGGAGCGGGUGAACGGCUACAUUGGGACUGAGAGACGGCCCAGCCGCCUAGGGGAGGCAGCAGUGGGGAAUAUUGCACAAUGGGCGGAAGCCUGAUGCAGCAACGCCGCGUGCGGGAUGACGGCCUUCGGGUUGUAAACCGCUGUCGCCUGUGACGAAGAGUGAGUGACGGUAAUGGGUAAAGAAGCACCGGCUAACUACGUG